ensembl:lncRNA
ACUGACUUGUUUAUUUGUAAUUCUCACUUGUAGUGCAUUUUGAAGUCGAAUUAAAACAUUACAAAAGAAGGUAUGAUAUACAAACUUUCAUCCACAACACUGUAUGAACUUUGAAUAUCAAAUGGCUUAUAAAAUUGAAUUUCUGACAUUUUGAUAAUACACCUUUCCUCACUUUGUACUACUCUGAAUGCAUGAUGAUGUUCAUCAAAAUUCUCUGUAAAUAGUUUGUUUACCAACAGAUAAAUGCAAUUUUCAACCAAAAGUACAUCACUUAUUUGACAGAAGACUGGCAUUUCACUUUCUAUUGCACUGCACACCACAAGUCCAGCUCUAUAUUCUACACCAUCAACUUUAACCCAACUGGUUGAGAAAACAUCUUUUGAUACGAACAUUUCAAGCAUUUGAUUGCUGACCUCAUUCCCUAUGGAAAAUGGUUUAAUUGGCCCAAACUCAUUAUGUUUGAGGGUGAAGGUUUCCCAAUGGUACGCAAUGGCCAUCUGAUGCUUUUUAGCUAAUGAUUUUGUUAUGUUUUUGAAAUUUUUAAAAAAAUCUUUGAACAUCUUAUGUUUGGCUUCGAACCUCAUUGACCACAUAUAUAAUAAGGGGCCAAUUUUCCUUAUAGAAGAAGGGUAAUGUAUCAUAUAAUGAUGUUUAGGAAUCAAAUUUUUAUGAGGAUACAAGUACUUGAAUAGUUUGUGAUGGUCAGCGAUCAAGUGCUUCAAAUACACUGUCAAACCUGAAGUGAGACAAGGUGAAAACACAAUGUUCAUUAUUUGAAGUAACAUAAGCAACAAACUCCAGUGUUUGUGUCCUGGAGGAACAAUGUCUCCUAACAAAAGUGGGAGAUUUUUCACAAGACAUAAUGUCUGAAUGGAAUUUAAACCAAUGCUAUUACCAGCACUAUCCAAAAUAACCUUUGUGGGACGAUUUUUCCGUUCUAAAAAUCCAUAAUCAAAAGAAUAAAUCCUUGAAAGUAAAUCCUCUUCAGAUAUAAAGUUUUGUGUGAGAUGUCCAAAAAGCAAUUUGAUUUCAUAUUGAACCACGCCCUCAAGAAGGUCAUGCAUUAUAUCAAAUGAGUAGUUAUUGCUAACAUGAAAGUACUUCAGUGUAUUAAUUAUGGAUUUUUUUUUCAAACCAUAUAGUGACCUCAAUUGUGGGUUUUCAUGGAGAGACUUGCAAUGUAUUUCAAAGAUUUCUUGUCCACGAAGGACCACCUUAGGAUCAUCCUCACUGUAUACUGUUUGAGAAUCAUUCUUUUCAAUUAAACAAAGGCGACAGAAAUGAUGGCUAUUAAAUGACUCAUUAAAACCAAGAAUUGAAUGCAUUCCUAGAUUAUCACCAGUGAUUUGUGCGAUGGUGCCGUAUAUCUGCUCAUCUGAGAAUGGGAGACUUAAUCCUUGGCUUUCAAGUAUCUUUAUAUCAUUUAUCAAUGGAUCCAGUAUAACAUCAAAACCGUACUUGCUUACAUCUUGUGUGUGAAAAAGUGCUAACAAAUGAAUGUUCAUCAGAACUGAGUUAAAUUUUGGAGGCAAGUUUCUUACAAUAAAAUAAAGGCAGCCAAUUUUGUGGAUACUACGUUUGGAGCCAAGGGGGUUAGCGGUUUCAAAAUCAUCAUAGUAUAUUUGAAUUUGUAAUGCAUGUCUUUUUGUUGUAAAUAAAGGGUGGGAUUUAAAAUAACUUCCAUCGCUAAAAUCUGUAAAAGUGUC